CCCUUAGAUGUUCUGGGCCGCACGCGUGCUACACUGAGUGGAUCAGCGGGUCAGGUUGCGCGAAAGCGUUUCCUAAUCUUUAAAUCCGCUCGUGAUGGGGAUUGACGGUUGCAAUUUUCUGUCAUGGACGAGGAAUACCUUGUAAGCGCGGGUCAUCAUCCCGCGCUGAAUACGUCCCUGCCCUUUGUACACACCGCCCGUCGCUCCUACCGAUUGAGUGGUCCGGUGAGGCUUUGGGAUCUGAGCGGAAAGAGCGUUUCGCUGUUUCUGCUCGGAAAACUCAGUCGAACCUUAUCAUUUAGAGGAAGGAGAAGUCGUAACA
rnacentral:rRNA from 1 species